AUGGCGCCGCAGCAGAAGGUGGUCGUGAAGGUCUCUUCUAUGAGCGACGAGAGGGUGAAGCAGAAAGCCAUGGAAACGGUUGCAGACAUCUAUGGCAUCGAUUCCAUAGCCGCGGACCACAAGGAUCAGAAGAUGACGGUGAUAGGUGAUAUGGACAGCGUCGUGAUCGCGAAGAAGCUGCGGAAGUUUGGGAGGAUCGAUAUCCUAUCCGUUGGGCCGGCGAAAGAAGAGAAGAAGGAUGAUAAGAAAGGGGAGAAGAAGUGA
rnacentral:rRNA from 1 species